rnacentral:rRNA from 1 species
UAUUUGUGACUGAGUGGCGGACGGGUGAGUAACGCGUGGGUAACCUACCUGGUACAGGGGGAUAACAGUUGGAAACGACUGCUAAUACCGCAUAAGCGCACAGCAUCGCAUGAUGCAGUGUGAAAAGCUCCGACGGUAUAAGAUGGACCCGCGUCUGAUUAGCUAGUUGGUGAGGUAACGGCCCACCAAGGCGACGAUCAGUAGCCGACCUGAGAGGGUGACCGGCCACAUUGGGACUGAGACACGGCCCAAACUCCUACGGGAGGCAGCAGUGGGGAAUAUUGCACAAUGGGCGAAAGCCUGAUGCAAGCGACGCCGCGUGAGCGAAGAAGUAUUUCGGUUAUGUAAAGCCCUAUCAGUCAGGGAAGAAAAAUGACGGUACCUGACUUAAGAAGCACCGGCUAAAUACGUGCCAGCAGCUGC